GUGGGGAAUCUUAGACAAUGGGGGAAACCCUGAUCUAGCCAUGCCGCGUGAGCGAUGAAGGCCUUAGGGUUGUAAAGCUCUUUCAGCUGGGAAGAUAAUGACGGUACCAGCAGAAGAAGCCCCGGCUAACUCCGUGCCAGCAGCCGCGGUAAUACGGAGGGGGCUAGCGUUGUUCGGAAUUACUGGGCGUAAAGCGCACGUAGGCGGACAUUUAAGUCAGGGGUGAAAUCCCGGGGCUCAACCCCGGAACUGCCUUUGAUACUGGGUGUCUGGAGUAUGGAAGAGGUAAGUGGAAUUCCGAGUGUAGAGGUGAAAUUCGUAGAUAUUCGGAGGAACACCAGUGGCGAAGGCGGCUUACUGGUCCAUUACUGACGCUGAGGUGCGAAAGCGUGGGGAGCAAACAGGAUUAGAUACCCUUGUAGUCC
rnacentral:rRNA from 1 species